rnacentral:rRNA from 1 species
AUUGAACGCUGGCGGCAGGCCUAACACAUGCAAGUCGAACGAGCGGCGGACGGGUGAGUAAUGUAUGGUGAUCUGCCUGAUGGAGGGGGAUAACUACUGGAAACGGUAGCUCAUACCGCAUACCAUCAGAUGUACCCAUAUGGGAUUAGCUUGUGGGUGAGGUAACGGCACACCUAGGCGACGAUCCCUAGCUGGUCUGAGAGGAUGAUCAGCCACACUGGGACUGAGACACGGCCCAGACUCCUACGGGAGGCAGCAGUGGGGAAGAUUGCACAAUGGGCGCAAGCCUGAUGCAGCCAUGCCGCGUGUAUGAAGAAGGCCUUCGGGUUGUAAAGUACUUUCAGUCGGGAGGCGUUACCGACAGAAGAAGCACCGGCUAACUCCGUGCCAGCAGCCGCGGUAAUUC